AAAAUGGCAGUAUGAACACAGGUGAAGGUGCAUGUUUUAACUUCAUUGUGUGAAAUCCCAAAAUUAAACUAAUCCAAUGUGACCAAUUAAAUUUCUGAGCAUAUUUUCUCAAUGCGGAUGGUAGACUUGUAUCCUAGGUUCUAUGUAACUUGCAAUGAAGCCAGUCCAAUUCAUAGGAUGGUAAGAUGCACCCAUAUGAAUAAGUGAACCAUAUGGAAAAUUAUAAUAUAUAGCCAUUAUAGAAGGGGGUGAAAUCAAGAGCACAUCUUAUAUGUCAGUAUCAGAUAGAAAAUACAUGGGGCAUUUUUCCUCAUACUUACCGAUAUACUAGGAUCCAUGUA
rnacentral:misc_RNA from 1 species